rnacentral:rRNA from 1 species
UGAGUAACGCGUGGGUAACCUGCCCUAUACACAUGGAUAACAUACUGAAAAGUUUACUAAUACAUGAUAAUAUAUAUUUACGGCAUCGUAGAUAUAUCAAAGUGUUAGCGGUAUAGGAUGGACCCGCGUCUGAUUAGCUAGUUGGUGAGAUAACUGCCCACCAAGGCGACGAUCAGUAGCCGACCUGAGAGGGUGAUCGGCCACAUUGGAACUGAGACACGGUCCAAACUCCUACGGGAGGCAGCAGUC